CCUACGGGGUGCAGCAGUGGGGAAUAUUGGGCAAUGGGCGCAAGCCUGACCCAGCAACGCCGCGUGAGGGAAGAAGGCCUUCGGGCUGUAAACCUCUGUCCCCCAGGACGAAAGAAAUGACGGUACUGGGGGAGGAAGCUCCGGCUAACUACGUGCCAGCAGCCGCGGUAAUACGUAGGGAGCAAGCGUUGUCCGGAAUUACUGGGCGUAAAGGGUGCGUAGGCGGCUAUGCAAGUCAGAUGUGAAAUCCCCGGGCUUAACUCGGGUGGUGCAUUUGAAACUGCGUGGCUUGAGUGCAGGAGAGGAAAGUGGAAUUCCUAGUGUAGCGGUGGAAUGCGUAGAUAUUAGGAGGAACACCAGUGGCGAAGGCGACUUUCUGGACUGUAACUGACGCUGAGGCACGAAAGCGUGGGGAGCAAACAGGAUUAGAUACCCCAGUAGUCC
rnacentral:rRNA from 1 species